CCUCCGGGUGCGGCUGCGCCUCGCCGUCGGCGCGCGUCGCCAGCCGCGGGCGGCCGUCUACCGCGAGCACCGCACCACCUCCGCCUCCGCGAGCGUCACCAACCCUCCGCCUCCGCCCCCGCCUCCUCCGCCGCCGGUUUCAGCCCAGAGCAGCUUGAGGCGCGAAAACCCCACGGUCUCGCCGUCGUCGGCGCGCUUCGCGAGUCGCGGGCGGCUGCCUACCGCGGCCACGGUCGCACCUAGGCCCCCGGAAGCAUCCCAAGGCCUCCGCGUCCGCCUCCCCUCCCCCUCCGCCGUCAUCGACCCGUAAGGAGCUUGAGGUGCGAAACCCUAAGACGCACGGCCUCGCCGUCGGCGCGCUUCGCCAGCGCGGGCGGCUGUCUGCCGCGACUAGGCCCCCGGAAGCAGCAACGUUACAGAGAUCGAGCCUAGCAGGUCCAAUCACUGCCGAGAUGGCGCACCGACCGGCUCAGAGGAAGAGGCAGCGGAAGAAGCUGGCCGAACUGAACCGCAAGCUUAGAGCAGAGCAGCUUAGAGCAGAGCAGAGGAGGUUGGUGGCCACGCCCUCACUGAAGUUAUGUUUCUUGAUGCUGGUGGGGUGGGUGUGGCGGUCAAAGUAUGAGGUGCAAUCUGGCAAGAGGCAUGGACAGCCCACAAGAAGGAGGCAGCACCGCAAGUGGAGGGCGGUGCAGACGGUGUCCGAUCGACCUGUGAUGAGUUCUUUCCUGUUCCCAUUGAUCAUCUUGCUCCUGAUGCUCCUGGUGCUGGCGCGGUUUGUACCACCCGAGUGGCUGCCAAAGUUUAUGGCCUGGCUUCUGCCUUGGAUGUCAUCUAUUCUACCAGUCGCAGUACUGGUGCCAAUGUUUCUUCACUUUCUUUCUGGUUGGCCAAUGGAGCAAGCUUGGCUCCUGCUGAUUGCCAUAUGGCCACAAUGGGCGCUUACCCUUUUGUUGAGCGAGGAAAAGUCUUUGGAGGAUUAUGUGCGUGCCAAUGCUGUCACUGAAGAGUACAAAUUGAGUGCUAAUGAAGACAAAGAUGCUGUACUUCUUACCACUAAAGUUGGGAUGGACCUCAGCAUACCGAUGUAACAAAAGUUGGGGAGGUGGGUUCUCAUCGGAGGAUCUGAGGAUGUCCGGCCAUAGCUGCCGAAUCAGUUUGAACCCUACCUUCCCAGCCUCGUUCCCAAAUCUACUUCGUGAUUUUGCAAAGCUGGCCCAUCUGUUAAUCAGUCAUUUCAAAGUUGAAAGGAAGCACGAAGCGUACAUGAGAUUUCUCUACAGGAGCAUGAUAAAGCCUGGAGCAAGUGAAACGCCAACUCCGGAUGCCUAGGAGGCCCACAUCAAGUUCAUAAGGAAUCAUCCUGCCCUGCGCUCACUUCGUCAGAAAAGACUCUUCCUUGAAGACGUCAUCAAAGCUUUCAGAUCAAUGGGACAUGCUGAAAAGAGACGAUUUGCAAAACCUUGCAAAAGAUAAAGGCUGGACCAGAUUGGAGGCUGAUUGCUCAGCGGAAUGCUAGCUUCUCUGGGGUGUUGUUCUUCAGAAGCGUGAAGCAUGUGUUUGUAUAUCGGUCAAGUCAAGAGGACCUGUUCCGUUUUUUUCGGAACUUUUUUGCUCACGGGUCGGACGCUGAAGGUGGCGAGGAACUUAUUGGUAACAUGGAGGACAUUGACUGUAUUGAUAUGGAGUUGAUGCCAACAUUUGUUAUACAGCUAUUCCAUCAAAUGAUAGUGAAUUCAAACAUGUCUGGGAAGUUGGCAUAUGCAUGGAAGCAUUACGGGUUGAUUGAAUGAAGUGUGCUGGAGGAGUCAUCGUGGCUGUUGUGGGGCAAGGCGAAGGCUGGUGUUUGUAACACUAGAACAAGAUGUAGAGAUACUGAUUUAGGCGUGGAAGUUACUCCCUCUGUCCCAGAAUAUAAGAACGUUUUUGACACUAUGCUAGUGUUAAAAACGUUCUUAUAUUUUGGGACGGAGGGAGUAGCUGUUAAUCUUGAGGCCCUUCCUCUGAUGGACGUCCUGAUGGUGUAGGAGUUUAAGGAAAGUUAGUGCGAUUGGCCCUGGGGUGGGCAGGAUGCUGUGGUUGUUAGUCUUAGCGCCGGGCCUGAGUGUUGGUAGGAAAGAUUUGGCUGGCUGUCCGUAAACCUGGGUGAGGGGUUGUAAGGAGUUAACCCUGGCCGGAUGAUGUUGCAUCCGCUGGGAACGCUAGCUUAUGACGUUGUGCGAAUUACGGCAGCAUUUUGAUGUGGAUCUUUUA